rnacentral:rRNA from 1 species
UAAAUAUGAGAGUUUGAUCCUGGCUCAGGAUAAACGCUGGCGGCGCACAUAAGACAUGCAAGUCGAACGGAAGCCGUUAUAAAAAGGAUUGAAGAUUUAUCUGAUUGAGAUUUUAUAACAAUGGCUUUAGUGGCGGACUGGUGAGUAACGCGUGAGCAACCUGCAUACUAGAGGGGAAUAACAGUGAGAAAUCAUUGCUAAUACCGCAUAUGCCAUGAACAUCACAUGAUGAAAAUGGAAAAAGAGUAAUCUGCUAGUAGAUGGGCUCGCGUCUGAUUAGAUAGUUGGUGGGGUAAAGGCCUACCAAGUCAACGAUCAGUAGCCGGACUGAGAGGUUGAACGGCCACAUUGGGACUGAGAUACGGCCCAGACUCCUACGGGAGGCAGCAGUCGGGA